UACGGAGGUGGCAAGCGUUGCUCGGAAUCACUGGGCGUAAAGGGCGCGUAGGCGGGGAGGUAAGUCGGGUGUGAAAUCCCUCGGCCCAACCGAGGAACUGCGCCCGAGACUGCUUCUCUUGAGUCCCGGAGAGGAAGAUGGAAUUCCCGGUGCAGCGGUGAAAUGUGUAGAUAUCGGGAGGAACACCUGUGGCGAAGGCGGCCACCUGGUUGGAUACUGACGCUGAUACGCGAAAGCGUGGGGAGCAAACAGGG
rnacentral:rRNA from 1 species